AACACUGUAAAGAGACACCAAAACAGACACCAAAGAGACGCCGUAUCCAGUCUGCUGUGGACUCCUCCGGUUCUUUCUCCACGCUGUCAACAAUCACCACCAGGAGCAAGGAGGACCCUGUAGGACCAGAGAGUGGCACCAUCCAAGGAGUCUCGGGCUUUAAAUUCAGGCUCCAUACACCUCAGCUCUCUCCGGAGAGGAACAAUGGCUCUUUAUGAGAAACUCCAAGAGAGAUGAGAGAGAGGAGACAGAGAGAGAUGAUUCAUUAAAAUGGAGCCCAAGCCAGCAUGUGCUUCAGCGACAGCUGUGACUUGUCACAGUGUUUCAGACCAACCGUGUGGGUUGGACAGAUUAUUCAGAAAGGGGGAAAAAAUGCCUACAAAUAUUAAGUGAAAAAGUAUUGAAUAAAAGGUAUGAGGGACCUGCUAGGAUGUGACUGUCCUUGAAAAAGGACUCAAAGAGUACGUCCCAAAUGGCACCCUAUUCCCUAUAUAGUGUACUACUUGCACUAUAUAGAAAAUAAUGCACUGUAUAGAAAAUAAUGCACUGUAUAAAAAAUAAUGUACUAUAUAGAAAAUAAUGCACUGUAUAGAAAAUAAUGUACUAUAUAGAAAAUGAUGUACUAAAUAGAAAAUAUUGUGGCAUUUGGGACCCACACCUGGUGUUGAUGGGACCCACACCUGGUGUUGAUGGGAUCCACACCUGGUGUUGAUGGGACCCACACCUGGUGUUGAUGGGAUCCACACCUGGUGUUGAAGGGAUCCACACCUGGUGUUGAUGGGAUCCACACCUGGUGUUGAUGGGAUCCACACCUGGUGUUGAUGGGACCCACACCUGGUGUUGAUGGGAUCCACACCUGGUGUUGAUGGGACCCACACCUGGUGUUGAUGGGAUCCACACCUGGUGUCUCAGAGAUCCUGUGAUACCGCUCAGCCAUGUCUGAAAACAAGGACAUACAGACGUUUCUCAGACGCCCCCUGGAAGCAGUCUGUCUGCGUGGAGUCGCGGAAUGUGACUUUGAUAAUGUAAACAUCUACAUAUGCUAUGCUCCAUGAAGCUGGUGUCUACAGUUUGGGGAAAUUAUGCUCCAAGAUUUGAAUGAAACCUCCUGCCAUUAUGAGGUUCAGUGAUAUAUAUUUAUAUAUUUAUAUUCUAUUUUACAUCUUUAAAGAUAAUGCAAAAUGCUUUGAAAAAUGUAUAAAAUGGUUUCUCAAUAGGGCAAAGAGCAAAUCUGUUUUGGUAUUUUGGGGGGUACAUUUGAUAUUGCACAAACAAAAUGUAUGUGUGUAGGAACUUAUCUUUUAAAUAUCAUGUUUGAACAACUGUCAGCAUCUCUUAACAGAGAGGAAAACCACUACCACUAAAAUCCAAAUAAAUGUCCUUACUCAUC